UGCUGUCCCAGCCCUUCGUUUGAGAAUUAGCCACUUGCACUGCAUCUAACUGCGGAGCAGAUGUCUCAGCACACCUUUCUCGGCGUCUCUUUACCCAGGAGGAUGGGGGGGGGGGGGGGAAAUCAAUCAGCUCUUUUAUUGCUGCAACAGAUGAGCCGGUUCCUGGUGCAGCCGGUAAUCCAAGGCCAUUUCCCUUUUCUGGAGAACAAAGAAACAUGUAAAUAAGGCCACGUUAACCGGUAAGCUGUAACGAGAGCAGCUAAUCGAGGUCUCGCUCUUCGGACAGGUGCACACAUGUCCUCGGGACACGGUCGGGCCUGAGCCGUGGGAAACACGCCCCAGACCUCCUCUGCCAUCACAUCACGGCGCGUCGGGUUUCAAAAGAAGCAGAUACAAGAUGAUGAAGCUUUCUGCGCUGGCCUCUAUUCUUGUGGGACUACGAAGAGAAAACCAUGCCUCUCUUCUUAAUGCAUUAGUGCCUCGUAAUACACACCAGAUGAUCAAUAAACUACAUAAAAAUUAAAUCAAACUGACAGUCUUUAAAAAAAUGUGCUCUAAGCAGAAACAAUUGUUUUAAAGACUGUGGUGUCUGGAGUACUAAACUCACGUGCUGCUGUGUUAUUAAUCUCUUUGUUGGAAGCUAGCUGAUUUCCCCCGCCUGCAUCUGUCAAUUAAAUAUCCAGCAUUGCAUCCAUAAUUGACCGGUUGAUGUUUUGGCAUGCAAGAACUUUUUGAGACAGAGUGCUGACAGUUUCUGCACAUACCAUACCAUUCCCAAAAGCCAAGAGGACUAGCGACUUAGAAAUCUGCCAGGGACUACGAGCUGCCCGAAAACACUUCAAAGCAACUUUUUAAAGGAAGAAGUUAAUGCAGAGGGGUGCCUGUGCUUGGUGCAAGAAGCGGGGAGAGAAGAAAAACAGAACCGCUGGUGAAACCUACAACCGAGCAGCAAAAAGGAACAACAAGACCUCCUUUUCUCCAUCCUCCCCCCCCCCGCCAAAAUAACGAGUAAAACUCAAGUUGCGCGGGGCUGUGUGAGUAGAGCACUGCCUCCACCUGGAGCUGCCCUGGGGGCUUACAAAGGUUUGCUGGAGUAAUUGGAGUUACGGUAGCAGUGAAUUUUGUCGUACGUUCUUGGAGACCUGCUCCUGACCUCCCAAGAUUUUCGGUGACUUUCGGUGUAAGCUGGACCAGGCCCUUGGCGGAGAGGGAAUGCAGCACUGAGAUCAUCUAUAUGAAGGCACACUCUACUUGCAGUAAAAACCAUCAUUGCCCAGAUUAACACCUGACUGCUAACAGUAAUAUGUCAGAACGCAACAAUAUUGAAAAAGCAGUUGGGUUUUAUUCGUUUAAUAUUUGCAGGAUUAGUGAGCUCCUUUUAAGAUUACUCCCAUAACAGGAAAGCGGCCAGGAACGGGAUGCUGCACCUUGUAGCUUUAUAGCUUCGGGACACGACUAACAUUGUGCUUCUGCCCCGCCGCCGGGGCUUGCACAGCACACGGCCAUGGUCCCCUUGGCCACUGUCCCCUCGGGGGGCAAUUCCAAGCCCACCCCAAACCGGGUCAUUUCGGAGCAGGCAGGAGCUGCACGAGCACGGCUGCCCCGCUAAGAAGUGCUUGCCAAGGCUGGGCUUAGAUCUGCGACUGCACAGCAGGGAGAUGGAGAACAGUGAGCCCCGAAGGGGGCUAAUUCCACCCUCUCCCAUUUCACCGGGGUAAAACCAAGCGAGGAAUCAAGCCUCAAAAACAUCCAGAUUUUUAGAAAAAUCAGCUGAUUAAUAUCAUCCUGAUAGGGUGUUUUCUGCUCUUCCAGCAACGGGGCGUCCAGAUCUAAGCAGACCGGGGGGGUCGUUCUUCAGCCGCGUGCCACGGGGACCCACGCGGUACAGGCCUCCACGGGCACAGACCCGUGGCUGCCGUCUCAAAUCGUUCAGGGCUCAGACGGAUUUGAUUUUGCAGCCACCUUAAAGUCCAGGCUGUUUUGACAGACAUCUGUAGUCCUGCCAGGUUUCACAAUUCUGGUGUUUCUCAUUAAUUUAAUUUAGUCAUCCUACAUCUUGCCGGCUCCUGAAAUGAUCUGAUUACAAGAUUUCACUUCGUAUUAUUAAAAAGGAAAAAAAAAAGUUUCAAAUGUCAUGAUUAUGAAAAAAAGAAGUUUCAAGUGUCAUGAUUAAGAAAAAGAAACCCUUGAAGAUAUGACCUCAUAAUCUAAUCUGAAAGAUCAAAACGCAGAAGUUGUAGAAAAGAAAGCCCUUCCAUUUAAUCUUAAGAUUUUCUUAAAGCCAGAUCCCAUGAUUCAAAGGAGCUUGAUUUACGAUUUCUGGACGCUUGGGAUCAGUAAUACUGCACAGGCAACAGAAGUAAUUCCUGUCCUCAGUGGCCUCAAAAAAGAGAAUCAUAGCACCAUCUACUGCCCGUCUUCAGAAUUUGCUCGGAAAACAAAAUAAACCAAUUCCAUGAAAUUAGUUUCAAUGGGUCAUGGCUCUCGUGUCCCACAGCCUUAUCGAUGAGUUGUAAAAUGGUCCAAUAUAGCGUUUAUGGAGCAACUGGAGUAAGCUUGGCCUGCAAAACAAAGAGCGGCAGCUUAACUACGCAGCACGGACGUUCAUCAUCAGAAACCUGCUCCUGAAUAAUAGCCAUUCUCCUGACCCGGGCACGUUAGAGAGGGUUUCAGUACAGCGGUAUUUUCAUAGAUUGCCCUCAAAUCCUUUCAUGUGUUUAUUAGCGCAGCCUUAAAGAGCUGUAUGUAUAAUUCACCUUUCUGUGCAAUUUAUCCUUUCACAGGCAACAACGGCUAAUGAAAGAGGUGGCACAUCGGCCUGCAGCUCGGACGCUGGUAAAACCCCGGUCUGUGCUCUGCCCUGGCUACUCUCCAGAAGUUUGUUUGAAAGUCAAGAAUGUGACAUGUUUUAAUUAUGCUUAUAGGUCAGGAUUUAAAUGAAAGCCCCGUUAUAAACAGCAGUCUCAGAGGGAAGGUCUACACUCGAGUUUUUAGCCCCGAACUGAUUACCGGCUAACUCAAGGUAGUUAACACGUUUGUAAGGUCUCAUCUGGACACUUCCCAGAUGUUUGCUCCAGGAUGCAAACAUUUGUUGUUUAUACUGUAAAUAGGUACACCUACGUUUUUCGGCCUGGACUGAUUUCUGGUUGCAAACCAUCUAAAUAACCCGGUUGAAAGCGCUCAGCAUCCAAACAAAAAGAGGAGUAAAAAAAAAAAAAAGAUUUUUUUCCCAGGUCUAGACCAAGCCAUUUUAUGGGCUACCCAAUAGCUUUUGGCAGAGCCUUCAACGAUACUGUCAGGCUGCUGACAACGCACGAGAGCGCAGGUCUAGCAGGUGCAGGCUUUGCAAACCUGGGCUUUGGGGGAGCCGGAAAGCUCGCGCGGAGCUGAGGAGCAGGCUCGAAGGCGCUGUGCGUGGGCCCGUGUCUCUUGAGUGGGAGCCGAAACCGUGGAAGUGGGCAGAAGCUUUUAAAAGACCUGCGUGGAGCAAUAGGGCUCAUCAAGAGGCGAAGUGGUGCAACCAAAAGUGAAGUGUGCGGUGUCCCCGCGUUGCUCUGGUCUUGCCCAAAUCCGUGCAGCAUGAGGGAGGAGAUGCUCCAGGGAAGCGCUCCGAUAUGCCUCUCCCGGCCACUUCACGUGAGCUGCGAGGCUCAGGCUGGGUAUUUGUAUACAAUGCUUACGUCCCUGGGCUUAUCUGCUCUGAAGUUUCUAUCUCGAUAAUUCAUUGUCAGCCAGCUUGAAGUAUUUAACGUGUUUGCAAGGGGCUAACCUGGACCCUGCCCAAAUAUUUGCUUCAGAACACAAAUCUGGUUUGCUCUAAGCACAGCCUUGGCUUGAUCCCCUCAUGCUACGCUGACUAUCCAGGGAGACAUCAAGCGGCCGUAGAGCCUGCUUCGGCCGCGGAGGAGGUUUCCUUCACGUGCACGGGGCGCUGCAACUGCAACGGAGCCCCUGGCAAUGAGAAGGGGAGGAAAAGAGGUUUCCCGGGCGGUCGCAUCGCAGCACUGUGCCCAGAGCAAGGCUGUGCCCCCCCCUUGCCCUAGCUGAGGCGGGACCCCAGCGACGUUAUGGGCAUCAGCCCCUCGAGCCGUCCCGCGGUGCCGUCUCCCGGGCGCCGGAUCCUGCACUGAUGCCGCACGCAAAAAACUCACCCAUAAUCUUCAAAGCCGGCUCUUCGCUGCCAUUUAUCUUAUCUAGCACUCCACUGAAGUAUGGAUUUACAUAAUACGUACCUAAUAGAUUCAUGUUCCCAUUCACUGGCAGCAUCUUGACGCUGUUUUCUUUGAAAGUCUUGCCAAAAACUAUCAAGCUUCUUACAAAAGAAGAUGAUGGUUUUAUAGAUCUGAAAAGGGAUUUCGCCCCCGCCCCCAUUCGCCUUCUGAAUACUUUCAUAUAGGCUCUUUGAUACUGCAAUCAGAGCCAGGCCCAAAACUGAGGAGUAGAGGGAUCCACAUUUCGGGUUAGUGGCAUAUUACACAGCUGGAGCACACAAAUUAAUCAAGUCUGGAUAUGAAACACUUUGUUCAGGCCUUCUGUCUGUGUACAACAUCUUCCCCAAAAUAUCUUGCAUUACAGCCCUCUUUGCAGCUGGGAAGAGUCAAGGCAGACGCACUCCCGCUCAUCACACACAUUUCCAGGGAACUCAGUUAAAUGUCUUUUCUUCUGAAUGCACAACCCUUCCUGUCAGCUCCACUUUUCCGUGCCAGUUAAAUGCUGCUUGGGACAUUGGAUUCUGCAAGGCCAAAGAGAUGUCUACGGAGAAGAAAUGCCACUGGAAUACAUGAUGCUCAAGGUAUGAUACGGACCUCAACACAGCUUAAGGGACUGUACAAGUGCACACAGCUCGUCUAUAGACCAUAGGGUCGUACUGCCAGAAGGAUGCUGCUGUUUUCUCUGUAAAGCCAUUCAGAAUCACAGCAAUACGUAUCUUCCCUAUCUUUGGCUUUGUUUUGAAAGGGCUCAAGGAAUACUUGCUUUUACAGGUAUGUUUGAGCAUAAGUCUUCUUCUAGCCAAAGGCACGUGAGGCAAAAUGAGGGGUAAAUUACCCAUUUUAUUUGAAAUAGUGCUAAAGAUCACACCUUGGGACAAACUCUUGGGUUCGUGGUUGAUCUUUGCACCUUCACAUGAGGCCUGAAUGCCUUUAUGGAGGACGUGUUGAAGUUAAACACCAGGUAGUGGGUCAAUACAGCAGAAGAGCAUGACGCUAUGUGGCUCGGGCAAUAUGGGAACUCAGCCUAUGGCAUUAAUGGUCUCUUUUGCUCUUCACUAUCUGCAAAUUUGCUCUGAACCAGGGGUUAAGAAAUAACAAGGGUAAAUCCCUGUAAAAUUGCCAGUAAAUGUUGG